AGACCCGAAACCCGGUGAUCUAGCCAUGGGCAGGUUGAAGGUUGGGUAACACUAACUGGAGGACCGAACCGACUAAUGUUGAAAAAUUAGCGGAUGACCUGUGGCUGGGGGUGAAAGGCCAAUCAAACCGGGAGAUAGCUGGUUCUCCCCGAAAGCUAUUUAGGUAGCGCCUCGUGAAUUCAUCUCCGGGGGUAGAGCACUGUUUCGGCUAGGGGGCCAUCCCGGCUUACCAACCCGAUGCAAACUGCGAAUACCGGAGAAUGUUAUCACGGGAGACACACGGCGGGUGCUAACGUCCGUCGUGAAGAGGGAAACAACCCAGACCGCCAGCUAAGGUCCCAAAGUCAUGGUUAAGUGGGAAACGAUGUGGGAAGGCCCAGACAGCCAGGAUGUUGGCUUAGAAGCAGCCAUCAUUUAAAGAAAGCGUAAUAGCUCACUGGUCGAGUCGGCCUGCGCGGAAGAUGUAACGGGGCUAAACCAUGCACCGAAGCUGCGGCAGCGAACGUAUCACCCAAGACAACUUUACGGAGUUGACGAUUGACGGAGCGAAGCGACGUCAAAGCGUUCAUUAAAGUCGAGUUGGCUUAGGGAUACGUUCGUUGGGUAGGGGAGCGUUCUGUAAGCCUGUGAAGGUGUGUCGUGAGGCAUGCUGGAGGUAUCAGAAGUGCGAAUGCUGACAUAAGUAACGAUAAAGCGGGUGAAAAGCCCGCUCGCCGGAAGACCAAGGGUUCCUGUCCAACGUUAAUCGGGGCAGGGUGAGUCGACCCCUAAGGCGAGGCCGAAAGGCGUAGUCGAUGGGAAACGGGUUAAUAUUCCCGUACUUGGUGUUACUGCGAAGGGGGGACGGAGAAGGCUAUGUUGGCCGGGCGACGGUUGUCCCGGUUUAAGCGUGUAGGUGUGUGUUCCAGGUAAAUCCGGUUCACUUUAACACUGAGGCGUGACGACGAGGCACUACGGUGCUGAAGCAACAAAUGCCCUGCUUCCAGGAAAAGCCUCUAAGCAUCAGGUAACACGAAAUCGUACCCCAAACCGACACAGGUGGUCAGGUAGAGAAUACCAAGGCGCUUGAGAGAACUCGGGUGAAGGAACUAGGCAAAAUGGUGCCGUAACUUCGGGAGAAGGCACGCUGACACGUAGG
rnacentral:rRNA from 1 species